CGUGAAUAAGGUCCGAAUCCGACACACGAAAAAAAGACGCGUCUUGGAUCAUCUCGUCCUUUGCUCUCUCUUCUUUUUUUUUGUUUGGUUCCUUCACCUUCGGGGCUACGAAUUUCUUCUACUUAGAGAGAAAGCGCGCCUUGCCGACUGCGCGCGGAGUUACACGUGCGUCUGUAUGUGUGCUUCCAUUGGUGUUGCCGUCGCGUGUGCGUGCCGGUACGAAAGGCCGAGACGGAGUGUGCCUUGGUUAAGGUUUGCGCGACGGCCUGUGUGAUUCUCGUGAUCCACUCCCGUGGGCAAGGUGAAGCCGUAGCAUUUUUUUACACGCAGAAACGCAUGCGUCGCAGGCUCCAGCUCCAUUUCUCAAGCCCUAAGAGUGAUUAACACCGUGGCGUUCUGGUGGACUGAAGCGAAACGGCACACCUGCGCACCUCAAUCGUCGUUUUCGAACAGCAGCUUCAGUUUUUGUGUUUCGUCUGUCAUCAUUUUGGUUUAUCGCUGUACACUCGCGCCUCCCCUCUUUUGCGUGCCAGCGUUGCUCUUCUCCGGCGCCGACUUGGAGGGGGCGCUUGCCAGAGAGUCGAACUCCCGCAGAGAGUCACAGCAGUAGAAGCAAGGCGGACACUAGCGGCAACUGCACGUGGUCGCAGCAAAGACGAUCACCCGGCAGGCGGAACACGUCGCACGAAGAAGGCGUGCCCUUGAUUUACGUGUAGCUUUUUUUUCUGUUUGUUGCUGAUUUCUGCUUCCAUACUGCGCCUACUUUGUUGUUGUCGUUGUGGUGCCAGCCUCAAACAGGGCAGCCACGCCGCAGUGAGAGAGGAAGAGAGGGGCUGGGCUGUGGGGCGACAGGGAGACGCGGACAGCACUUCCUUGUCGUUCUUCAUUCUCCUUUUCUGUCUGCCUUGGCCUGCCUCUGCGCGCGUGCAGACUUGUGUGAUUUGUCGGUUUCUCGGACACCUCCACCGGCUUCCCCUUCUUCCCUUCCUUUUGUCUGCUCGCUUUCAAGCGGACUCGUCCUUGCCGGCGGAACGACACGAACAACAAAGGACCGGCAUAGAGAGCGAAGAAGCACCCUUCAUUCUGCAGACGCUUUUUCUCUCCUUGUCAACCUCUCAAAGAAUUGUUUUUUUUUUUAUACGUUUGUCUUUUUACGAGGUGUUAACGGUUAACCUCACGCGCUGCGCUGCCGCCGUGCACGCUCAUUGUGUGCGGGUCUAUUUCCUUCGUGUCUUGUCUUGCUUGCUUUACUCCAGUACGCUCGUGUGGUUUCCAUCUGCAUUCACGGUCGCACUCCCCCUCUUCCUGCUUUCCUCUUCGUCUUGCAUGGAACGCAGCUGCUGGCACACGCGAAUUCGCAACGCAGAGGUGUGGCGCUUGAGCGCGGAAAUCUUCAGGCCCGUUUCCACUUGCGCUCGUGUCCUCGACGGUGGGGUGGCUGUGUAUGUGUGUGUGGGUAUGCAUGAAAGCCUUUGCUGCGCCUUUUUUUUGGCGGAAAGCGAAUCAAAAACCACCGAUCAGGUGUACUCUCGCAUUUCUGCAUACAGUCCGGCUCUGUCGGAGCACAAAUGUCGUCGGCUCGCGUAUCCCCGCUCGACAGCAGCUCGGACUGCAGCACUGCGCAUAUUUUGAUCUCCCGCUCGCGCAGCGACGAAGCCGGCGACAUUAAUUCAAACGCCUUCGGUGCCGCAAGGCAAUCCAUUGUGUCACUGCCGCCGACCGCAAACUCCGCCAUGACGCUGCCUGCGUCGGAGGCCUUUGCUUCUGCGAGGAGUGAACUUACUGCCACUGAUGGGUUACCUUCGGCACGCUACGUACCUACUCCCAGCACGGGUCGAGGGCGCGUUCCGGACAUCCAGAAUGGCACCUCACACAGCGUCAGGGUGCCUUCAACGCUGCCGACUCCACUGCUCAUGACAAACAUGCGCACUCCAACCGCAGCUCAGGCGCCGUUGUGGGUCACGGAUGAGCCGAAGGUGCGGCUGCCCAACGAGUUCACCAGCGCCUCACAAGCGAGCGCUGCAGGUCCCGUCGAAAGCUCGUUAUUCGGCCUUCCAGCGGCGCAAUCCGUCAUGCCGCGGCAAUCUGCAUCGUUGCCGGUGGUGCCAACCUCACGCGGUGCCGGGAGCGAAUGGCGGCGUGGGACGGUCUCCGUAAACGGGACGAGCGGCUCACACGUCCUCCCUCCACUGCCACCUCCCGUGAGGCCGCCUUCCAUGUGUUCGGUAGUCGGCAGUAAAGCCGGCAGCGGUGCAGCUAGUCAGCGUCCUUCGACCUCCGCGCGCGGGUCAAAGGCCUCGGUGCUAGACGGAUCCACUCUUGAUGGUACAGAUACUGCGGCCCAGCCACUAGCGAAACUGACGACCACACCUGACGGCGAGAACAGCUGGUGGGCCGCGGUACGCAAGUUUGUCUCUAAUCAUCGUGAGCAGGUGAGCACGUACCUGGAGAACCUCGUCAAUCCUGGUGGCGUAGCUGCUGCCGCUGCAGAAGCGCGUGCUGCGAAUGCGACGCGCACGCGCACGAGCGAGGACUGGCGGCCAUUGCGCGUUCCCACGCGCAACUCCCUAAUGAGUCGCUCUACCUCGAUGUCUUCCGGCUCCGGCACCACGGGCGAUCUGAAUCGGCGUACCCCACGGGCACAAACAUCGUUCUCGUCGACCUCCGUCGCAAGCCGACGCGCCGUCUUCGAGCCGUACAACAACACCUCGUCGAUGCGUCCAGGCGAUGCGGACCCAUCCGACAGCGAGGGGUCUUUCGCGGUGCCGCUCGACCUGGUCGUUGUCGACCCGUCGACCGAUCCCUUGUGGAACAACCGGAGCACCGCGCAGCCUAUCAUGAGCUUCAUGAACCAGGACACCAUGAACGACUCCUUCAUGGACGCUGGCAACGUAAGUGGCUCGGAUGUCGACGGCUACGACGGUGAGCCGAAUAUGUACGUGGUGGAUCUCCUGUCGGCACUGCGUGGCUAUCAGUCGAGCCCGACGGAGCCGUUUGGGCACCUUGUCGCCGCGGCGCUGGCGUCACGGUCGAAGGAGAUGCCGGUACGCGGCUUCGAGAUGGCCGCCGCGGAGCACAACCCGUACCUCGUGCGACUGAUUCUUGACUCUGGCACGCUGGAUGAGACCGAUGUGGAGGCGCAGCGCAACGUGCAGGAGACCAUGGAUGAGCUCUUUUCCACCAAGGACGGGACGCUGAACCCGGCCAUCUACGAGUACCUCACUUCCUUCUUUCGCAUGCCUUUUGCACGACUCUCGCACACUCAGUACGCCAUGCUCAAGCGAAGCGGCUUCGAGUACAUCAAGCUCAUGUACGACCACCAGCACGUCCUGCCCGACGAGCCCUUUCAUUCCAUUCUUAUAAACCAGUCCAACGUGAUGCGGAUCCUCAAUCUGAUCUUCAUGGUGGUGCAGCUGUGCACGAUUAUUUUCUCCAAUGUGGGGAUCGCACUGGUGCUGGCGAAGUGGGUGGAGCUGAACGGCGGCAGGCUCCAGAGCUACGCCCUCUACACACUGAUUGUCUUUGGGGGAGGCUGGGCGCUGAAUCUGAUCUGCAUCAUCUGCACGGUGCGGAGCCGGCAGGACGAGGCGCAGUACGAGCCCAGGCGUGAAGACGAGAAGUACUUAAUGGUGCCAUCGCCGUAUGUCGCGGUGGUGCCGGCGAUGCCGCUUUUUGACAUCUUCUGCCUCAUCGCCUACGCCCGUGCGCUGAGGCAGAAGCGCAUGAUCCUGGGCCACAACAUAGUUGCCUGCAGCCGCCUCUCCGGCAUCAUCCACGCCAUAAUAUUUGCCUUUCCGCAGCUCAUCACACAGGCGUACUUCAACAACAUUGAGCUCAGCAUCCAGCUGGAGUGGCGGCACCGCUGGCCUUAUGUUGUGCUGCUCGUGGCCGCGGCCACGCAGUGGUGCGUGGCGCUGUUCGGAUACGCCUGGCUUCUGUUCACGCAUGACUCAAUCGACGGACUUGGCUUUGCCUGCUUCAACCUAGACAGGGUGCCCCAUAUGCUGGAGCGCCACAGCGCCGUAGCUCACGCGCUGCACUAUGUGAUGGCGUCGGUGCUCGAGACAAACAUUUUUCUCCUCGUUGCCACCGCGAUCAGGCUGUCAGGGACGACAUGCCGGUACUACAACAGCACCAUCAUUGUUCUUUCCGGCAUUACGGUCGCGUACAUCCUCUCCGUGUACAUCAUCAUCGUCUUGACAGAGGCGUCGACAGUUCGGAUUAGCUUUACCUGCGUUCCACUUGCGAUAAUUCAGCUAGUGCUGAUCAUCUGCUCGGAGCGCGUCGGCGUCGAGGAGUGCGCCUCCUUGCGGUACCUCUACUUUCGCGAAACCUUCAUAUUUGGCUACCUUAGCUGGGGUGCCUACUUCUCGCUGUUUCUGGUGUGGCUGAUCCUCAUGAUUCAGUGGUGCGUGCUGUACAAGACGGAGGUGAAUCUUUUUCCGCGUCUUCUGUGGCCGUUAGCGAGGAAGGACACACGAUUCGCAACGUCGAAGGUGGAUUCGGGCGAUGAGACCUUUCCUACGGACUCAGUGUCUUAGGAUGAGGCCGAGCGGACGGCGGUGGAGGGCCGGCUUAUGCACCCGCCUGUAGAGAGGGGUUGGGUGGGUGGGGGUGGGGGCGGCGCUGCUGUGCAACAGAUCUUGAUUUGGCCAUCCCGCACAUCGGGCGAUACAAGAAGGAUGUGCAGCAACAAUUCUCUCGUGUGUGCAGCUGCGGAUUAGUGUAUCCGCUGCCCAUAUCAUCAGGUGUUGGAGGGGCGGUAGAGGUAUCACGAUGGGCGCAUGGGCAUGCGGGGCGUGUGCAUUGCAUCAUUCGCCGGUGCCGUAUCUCUCUUGCUUUUUGUGUCCGUAGUGCAUCGCGUUGCUGCGCUGUGCUUCCUUUGGCUUGCGUGUCUCUCUCGCACACACAUCACACUCACUUCAUUGAUGAGGCUGUGUGGUGGCAGCUCAGGCUUUGACAGAAAACCAACCGCAAGGACAAGGAAGAGAGAGUCGCCAAGAGGCCUGUCUGCGUGCGUGUGUGCGUGUAGGGGGAAGAUGGGGAGGGGAGGUCCCAGGAGGCCGCCCUCAGGCGCAGCACGCGUUGUAGCUGUCCUGAGGAUGCUUUUUUUUUCUUUGAGUUUCUACUGCAUUGCUGUUCAUGAAAGUAUCAUGUCGACUGCUGGACAUCACCGCCCUCCUUCCUCUCUCUCCAUCUCUAUAACACUUGCCCACGGUACCACAUCCUCCUUCUCCAUACACACUCCUGCUUUUCGCUUUUAUCACGCGCGUCGCGUGGAGUUGGGGGGGGGUUCGGGAGGGUGCGUGUGCGUGUGUGUGUGCCU
rnacentral:misc_RNA from 1 species